GACGAACCGUGCGAACGUUGUUCGGAUUCACUGGGCUUAAAGGGCGCGUAGGCGGGCUGUCAAGUCAGGGGUGAAAGCUUUCGGCUCAACCGGAAAAGUGCCCCUGAUACUGAUGGUCUAGAGUGAGGUAGGGGCAUGUGGAACUUCCGGUGGAGCGGUGAAAUGCGUAGAUAUCGGAAGGAACGCCGGUGGCGAAAGCGACGUGCUGGACCUCGACUGACGCUGAGGCGCGAAAGCUAGGGGAGCAAACGGG
rnacentral:rRNA from 1 species